UCUGACCUCAAAUCAGGUAGGACUACCCGCUGAACUUAAGCAUAUCAAUAAGCGGAGGAAAAGAAACUAACAAGGAUUCCCCUAGUAACUGCGAGUGAAGCGGGAAAAGCUCAAAUUUAAAAUCUGGCAGUCUUUGGCUGUCCGAGUUGUAGUCUGGAGAAGUGCUUUCCGCGCUGGACCGUGUACAAGUCUCUUGGAAUAGAGCGUCAUAGAGGGUGAGAAUCCCGUCUUUGACACGGACUACCAGUGCUUUGUGAUGCGCUCUCAAAGAGUCGAGUUGUUUGGGAAUGCAGCUCAAAAUGGGUGGUAAAUUCCAUCUAAAGCUAAAUAUUGGCGAGAGACCGAUAGCGAACAAGUACCGUGAGGGAAAGAUGAAAAGCACUUUGGAAAGAGAGUUAAACAGUACGUGAAAUUGCUGAAAGGGAAACGCUUGAAGUCAGUCACGUUGGUCAGAACUCAGCCUGGCUUUUGCUUGGUGCAUUUUCUGAUUAACGGGCCAGCAUCAAUUUUGACCAUUGGAAAAAUUCUUUGGGAAUGUGGCUCCUCCGGGAGUGUUAUAGCCCAAGGUUGUAUACAGUGGUUGGGAUUGAGGAACUCAGCACGCCUUUAUGGUCGGGGUUCGCCCACGCUCGUGCUUAGGAUGCUGGCGUAAUGGCUUUAAACGACCCGUCUUGAAACACGGACCAAGGAGUCUAACAUGCCUGCGAGUGUUUGGGUGGAAAACCCGAGCGCGUAAUGAAAGUGAAAGUUGGGAUCUCUGUCGUGGAGAGCACCGACGCCCAUACCAGACCUUCUGUGACGGAUAUGCGGUUGAGCAUGUAUGUUGGGACCCGAAAGAUGGUGAACUAUGCCUGAAUAGGGUGAAGCCAGAGGAAACUCUGGUGGAGGCUCGUAGCGAUUCUGACGUGCAAAUCGAUCGUCAAAUUUGGGUAUAGGGGCGAAAGACUAAUCGAACCAUCUAGUAGCUGGUUCCUGCCGAAGUUUCCCUCAGGAUAGCAGAAACUCAUUUCAGAUUUAUGUGGUAAAGCGAAUGAUUAGAGGCCUUGGGGUUGAAACAACCUUAACCUAUUCUCAAACUUUAAAUAUGUAAGA
rnacentral:rRNA from 1 species